rnacentral:tRNA from 1 species
ACUUUUUUAAUUUAAAAAAAAAUAUCGUGUUUUCAUCACGGCAAUACUUGAUAAAGUAAAAAGUU